rnacentral:hammerhead_ribozyme from 1 species
CUGCAGCUGACGAGUCCCGAAUAAGACGAAACGCGCGUCCUAG